CAAACACUCAACUACAACUACAAAUAUACAAACUACAACAACCCAAUACUCAUCAACGAACACAACUUUGAAAGCCUACCUACCCUCAUCUGCUACUAGCGUUACACCCAUAUCUACUACAACAACACAAAACCCAAUCCCAACCAGCCCUGUAUCUACUGCUAUCAACAGCUCUAAAGAAACUAUAUCCGUACACACCAAAACAAUGGCUGCAGUUACAACCACAGUCCAAACCCUAAAUACUUUCCAUGCUUCAGGAAAAUAUUAUAUUAUUGCCCUGAAUGGCAGGAUCUCUACAACUUUAUCUCAGGAAAAUGACUAUGAAACCAUUGUGAAACAGAUCAAGGAUGAACUAGUUAGACGAGGAUUCCCAUCAGCCAUGAGUGUUCGCCUCCUGAAAGCAAUUACCACAAAUGGUCUGUAGAGGCCAAAUUUGAAUAUGAUCACUGUAAAUAUUGUUCUCUAAAGUUUGAAGUAUUUUUUUUUUCUUUUCCUUAAGUUUUGUAAGAUUACAUAUCUCUUGGAAUUGUACAUUUUUGUAUGUAAGAAACAAAAAAAAUAUAUAAUUUUUAGUCCUUAAAUGUUUCUCAUUGAUGCAAAGGCAAGACAAAUUUAUUCUAACCCAUCUAAAGUCAACUAAAAUCCUCUUGUGCAGGCACUUAAAUUUAACUUUAUACAGUUCCUUCUGUGUUUAAACCUUUAAGUAAGCUUCAUUUCAAAUCUACCAUUCUACUGUUCUACUUUAAUUGAGUAUUUCAGAGUGGCCUGCCACUGUGUUGUCACCAAAACAGAAACACUGUGAUAAUCUGAGGGACCAAGUUGGGAUGCAUAGAGGAUACAGGAAAAAUUUCACCAAAAAGUUCCAACAAAUAAAGUUUAAAGUAGCCUAAACAGGUCCAAUUAAUACAACUCUACUAAAAACAACUGACAAAAUACUGAGCAAACAAAAAAAAUAAACAACUAAACUUAAUACUGACCUAAAAUAAAUACUAAAAUGGAUUCUUUAUAUAAUGAUUUGAUAAAAAUAUUUUAAACCAUAGGGAGAACAGAAAUAACCAUCACUAUUAACUAAGGGCCAAAUUAUCUAAAUGAACCUUCACCAUCCCCUUGUUGAUAAGCCAGUGGUAUAUUAGUGUUGAGCUGGAAUUGUGGUCCUACAUCCUUUCAACAUUGCCUGCACCCUUUGUUCGAAUAGGAAGAAGCCAGGUCCCCAAAGCAGAUAAAUUAAAAAGAGAACAUAAUUGGUACAACUGAUAACCAGACAAUGUCAUUUUGUGUACACAUCAUAUAAUUUUUAUUUUAGCUAUAUUUGUAAAUUAAAUAUCUAAAAUAUAUAUGUUUAGUGAAACACAAGUCAGUUACAAUCUUACAAACAAGUAAGGUAAAUGUGUGGACUGUUUUAGCAAUUUAUGGCUUAUGCCUUUACAUGGGGCUAAAGUUUUCCUUUUUUGUAUCAGUCAUUUCAUAAAUAUUUUUUAUUAAUCAUACACUAUUCAUUUUCAUACUUAAAUCAUUCACUUUGGUUUUGCCACUGCUAUGUGCAUUUCUUUUUCUAUUUUUUUAUGUUUACAGCACUUUCAAUAGUCUUGCUACUAAAAUGUGCUUCAUAUAUAAGUUCGCCCCUCCUUACGUUCCAAAAUAAUCCUACAUUGAAAAUAUUAGUGAAGUCCAGUUUAUUGUCUGAACUGAUUCAAAAGUUUUAUUAGAGAAACUGAGCGGAUUGCAUCAUUGCAUUCACUGAUUUGCAAAAUGUAAUGCUACUGGGUGGGUAUUUAGAAUAUCAAGAGUGGUAAGAUACUUGCAUUGUGUGGUUGACUUUGCAACAAUCUCUAACAGAGCAUGCAUGUACCAACAGUGAGAUGAGGCAACAGGAGGAGAUUUGCUCUUCAUUAAUUACAGUUUCAAAAUAUGCUUAAAUUAUCCACCAGGAAAUAAUGAGGAGGAUUUAAUUUAACGAGACUUACCAUGUCCCUUGUCUUCCGUGUAGGACCAAAUAACUCAGAUAUCAAGUCUCAAUUUAUCUUGUUCAGGUCAUAUUUCUAACUUAUGAUGACAUAUUUAAGAUUAAAUACAGAUAAAAGGUUGGUGUAAUAACACAAAACAACUAAAGGAU